GGGAAGUUGGCUCAGUGGUAGAGUGCUUGCCUUGCAUGCAUGAGACCCUGGGUUCAAUUCCUCUGCUCCACA
rnacentral:tRNA from 1 species